rnacentral:antisense_RNA from 1 species
AGCAGAUGACCUGUACUUCUCUGCUCUCUCCCCUACUGCAAAGAGGCAGCGAGUGCAGCAUUAGUAAGCCUGACUCAGGGGAAGGUAAGUGGCCUGCAGAGAAAUGGUCCUAGGUCCGCAACUGAGGCGAGUGAACUUGUCGGACAGAUGAAGACUCUAACUGGAAGAAACAAUCAGCGCAUUCACGGAUGCACCACCAUCCAGAAAUCUCCCGGUGGCUUCCAUACAAAAACUGAUGUUUCUAAAGAUGGAAAGAACAGGUCUAGGAGGCAGAAGAGUAUCUCCUAGCAAAGUGUUCUGUAGCUCAAAGGGUGAGUGGGCUUUGGUAGCAAAAAGCUUUGAAGGCUUCACCCUGGGUGAAUCUGACAAGGGCUGGAGCCAGACGGGACCUGCAGCACCUCCUCAGCUUGGCCUCGUCUCCCCUGACCCCGCCUCCGUGCAUGCUGCCUCAGUUUGCCUUCUCAGCAGAGAAGCCCCCACCACCAGGGGCUGGGCAUGCCCAGGGCAGGUGUGGGGCCUGUAGCGGGGCAGCAGCAACUGGUGGGUGCCCCUCUAGUGGGCGCUCAGCUCACAGCUUCUCAAAUGGGAACAGUCAGGAGCACGUCUUUGAAUUCCUCGCAGACGAUGUAUCCAUCAGUCCUGUGGGGACACAACGCGAUGUCAACCCUCGAACCUGCUGCCUGCUCUGCCUCUCCUCCCUCCCCAGUUUGCGGAAGACAGUGGGCCACAUCUGAGCACUAGGGGGUCCUGAAGGAUGUCGCGGGUCAGCCAGUGUCCCACACCCUCCGUGCAGAAGGCAGGCCUGUGGAAACUGGCACUGCCUCUUCCUCCCCAGAUUCUGCCGAAGAAAGCUGGGGUGAAAGCCCUUAUCCAGCCUCACCCAUCAUGGAA